rnacentral:lncRNA from 10 species
GGAACGGGUGUGUAAAGCCUCAGCCCCUCGCCUGGUGGGGGCUGAGUCUGAGGAAUGUGCCCUGCAUUGUUCCCGCAUGAUUAGGCUCCAGCUGCCCCCAGUGGUAAGGCCCCUCUCCUCCCUCUCCUCCCUCCCCAGUCUAGGGGUGCUUCACCUCCCAAAUAAAGAGGGUUCACUCAUCCUUAUCUCAGGGUCUGCUUCUGGGGGAGCUGACCAGAAGCAAACCUUCCUCAGCACUCAGAU